AGUCGAGCGAGCUUGCCUAGAUGAUUUUAGUGCUUGCACUAAAUGAAACUAGAUACAAGCGAGCGGCGGACGGGUGAGUAACACGUGGGUAACCUGCCCAAGAGACUGGGAUAACACCUGGAAACAGAUGCUAAUACCGGACAACAACACUAGACGCAUGUCUAGAGUUUGAAAGAUGGUUCUGCUAUCACUCUUGGAUGGACCUGCGGUGCAUUAGCUAGUUGGUAAGGUAACGGCUUACCAAGGCAAUGGUGCAUAGCCGAGUUGAGAGACUGAUCGGCCACAUUGGGACUGAGACACGGCCCAAACUCCUACGGGAGGCAGCAGUAGGGAAUCUUCCACAAUGGAUGAAAGUCUGAUGGAGCAACGCCGCGUGAGUGAAGAAGGGUUUCGGCUCGUAAAGCUCUGUUGGUAGUGAGGAAAGAUAGAGGUAGUAACUGGCCUUUAUUUGACGGUAAUUACUUAGAAAGUCACGGCUAACUACGUGCCAGCAGCCGCGGUAAUACGUAGGUGGCAAGCGUUGUCCGGAUUUAUUGGGCGUAAAGCGAGUGCAGGCGGUUCAAUAAGUCUGAUGUGAAAGCCUUCGGCUCAACCGGAGAAUUGCAUCAGAAACUGUUGAACUUGAGUGCAGAAGAGGAGAGUGGAACUCCAUGUGUAGCGGUGGAAUGCGUAGAUAUAUGGAAGAACACCAGUGGCGAAAGCGGCUCUCUGGUCUGCAACUGACGCUGAGGCUCGAAAGCAUGGGUAGCGAACA
rnacentral:rRNA from 1 species